UCGUGUCGUUAGUAUCACAUCACUUUGCCGUGAAACCUUUUGCCAGGUUUUUGCAUUCCCGAGCGUUCUUGCAGCUUUCAGGAUAGUGUAAAAAUUCAUGAUAAGUCUUGGUGCCACGAUGGAUAUUCAAAAAAGUGAGCCAAUUUCGGAUAAUUCGCCACCGAAUGGUAAUCCAAACGUUUCCGGCUCCAGUACCGCCACCAAAUCAAGUUCCUAUGUUCCGAUCAGCAGCACCACAUCCACCUCCUCGCAGGCGCCGAUCGACGAUUAUACAGCAGAUAGCAGGAAUGGAAACUGAUUCCUGAACCAUCAGUAGAGAACUUCUGCUUACAGCUGCGAGUCGCUGAACGGCCCAAUAUGUCCAUAAAAGGAAACCGGUUGAAAUCUAUCAAUCCUCCAGCAAGCGUUUCGGUUUGGAUAUUGGGAGUUCUCGGCAUGCCCCGAGAUAUUCAGAAGAUUGCAGAUCCCAUUCGACAUGUCCUAAAUUGAAUGUCUCACUAACUGUAAUAUGAAGGACCUCUACUGUGCGAGUGAAAAUAACGACAACGCCCAACUCAUCAACGGAUCUAAAGGCCGGCAGGUGUUAAAAGCUCUAAUUGGAUUUAUCAACUGUACAAUAAAGAUGGAAAAAUCCAGAAAAAGGAAAACGGAGGUGAUGCUGAUUCAUUUUUGAAACUGGAACAAAUUUGUUGCAGAUAGUCAACUUGGUAGAUUGUUUUACUAUCAGUGGCAACCGUUUAAUUGAUUGGUACACCAACAUAUCUGAUCAUCCGGCACAGUUACCACCUGGAAAGCUGCCACCAGUUACUAAAUGCCAUGCCGCCAAAGCUCCUCAUCAGUAUAGUUUUUGCUUUUAUUGCCAGCUUACUUGUUCUUCGCUGCUUUUGCUGCGAUCGACUCUCCUCCACCAUAUACGAAGCUUCUGCUGAAGGAUGUUCCGAGCCAUCCGGGAUUACUGCUUUCAGGUUCUGCUGCAGGUAAUACAGUAGUAGCCAAUCAUCCAGCUUCAUGGAAG